rnacentral:tRNA from 1 species
GCCUUUGUGGUGUAGUGGUCAGCACGCUCGGCACAUAUUUGAGAAAUCCGUAGUUGAAGUCCCGGUGAGGGCA